rnacentral:rRNA from 1 species
AGCGAACGCUGGCGGUAGGCCUAACACAUGCAAGUCGAACGGCAGCACAGUAAGAGCUUGCUCUUACGGGUGGCGAGUGGCGGACGGGUGAGGAAUACAUCGGAAUCUACUUUUUCGUGGGGGAUAACGUAGGGAAACUUACGCUAAUACCGCAUACGACCUACGGGUGAAAGCAGGGGAUCUUCGGACCUUGCGCGAUUGAAUGAGCCGAUGUCGGAUUAGCUAGUUGGCGGGGUAAAGGCCCACCAAGGCGACGAUCCGUAGCUGGUCUGAGAGGAUGAUCAGCCACACUGGAACUGAGACACGGUCCAGACUCCUACGGGAGGCAGUAGUGGGGAAUAUUGGACAAUGGGCGCAAGCCUGAUCCAGCCAUACCGCGUGGGUGAAGAAGGCCUUCGGGUUGUAAAGCUCUUUUGUUGGGAAAGAAAAGCAGCAGGUUAAUACCCCGCUGUUCUGACGGUACCCAAAGAAUAAGCACCGGCUAACUUCGUG